rnacentral:rRNA from 1 species
UACGGAGGGGGGCUAGCGUUGUUCGGAAUUACUGGGCGUAAAGCGCACGUAGGCGGCUUUGUAAGUUAGAGGUGAAAGCCCAGGGCUUAACCCUGGAAUUGCCUUUAAGACUGCAUCGCUAGAAUCGUGGAGAGGUGAGUGGAAUUCCGAGUGUAGAGGUGAAAUUCGUAGAUAUUCGGAAGAACACCAGUGGCGAAGGCGACUCACUGGACACGUAUUGACGCUGAGGUGCGAAAAGCGUGGGGGAGCAAACAGG